rnacentral:rRNA from 1 species
UACGUAGGGGGCGAGCGUUGUUCGGAAUUACUGGGCGUAAAGGGCGUGUAGGCGGUGCGGUAAGUCGGACGUGAAAUCUCCGGGCUCAACCCGGAGCGGUCGUUCGAGACUGCCGUGCUCGAGUGUGGGAGAGGGAAGUGGAAUUCCCGGUGUAGCGGUGAAAUGCGUAGAUAUCGGGAAGAACACCGGCGGCGAAGGCGGCUUCCUGGCCCACAACUGACGCUGAGGCGCGAAAGCUAGGGGAGCAAACAGG